AGAAUCAACGCUGGCGGCGUGCCUAACACAUGCAAGUCGAACGAGAAAGUGGAGCAAUCCAUGAGUAAAGUGGCGACCGGGUGAGUAACACGUGACUAACCUACCUUCGAGUGGGGGAUAACCUCGGGAAAACCGAGGCUAAUACCGCAUAACAUCGCAAGAUCAAAGCAGCAAUGCGCUGGAAGAGGGGGUCGCGGCUGAUUAGCUAGUUGGCGGGGUAACGGCCCACAAGGCGAAGAUCGGUAGCCGGCCUGAGAGGGCGCGCGGCCACACUGGAACUGAAACACGGUCCAGACUCCUACGGGAGGCAGCAGUGGGGAAUUUUGCGCAAUGGGGGAAACCCUGACGCAGCAACGCCGCGUGGAGGAUGAAGCCCCUUGGGGCGUAAACUCCUUUCGACCAAGACGAUAAUGACGGUACUGGUGGAAGAAGCACCGGCUAACUCUGCGCCAGCAGCCGC
rnacentral:rRNA from 1 species